UCAAAGGGAUUAUAUAAGUUGCCACAAUCUUGAAAAGUUUGCCCUGUUCAGGAACUGGCCUAUAAGUUUGCAGAAACCUCAUUUGGCCAGUCUAUAAAAAUCAGGGUCUUUAUCAGUGUGGACAAAGUUGGGAACGGGAUCAUUGUCCAAGACUGAUCUCCCAAGGUUUAGACCCCAGUUCUCAUUAUUCCAGGGAGAGGUGAGUGCAUCCCCACCCGUGAACAUAGAGGUAGUGAACCCUGCUGCUACUCUGCUACAUUAUACAGGACACUUGCGAGGCUUGUGCCCCAGCUUCUGAUCACUUUAGAGUCCCAGUUCUUCUAUUCCAUUUAUGGUAUCCUGUUAAAUUCUUUAUUUACGAUAUCCUGUUAGAGUCUGUCUUCUAAAUCCAGACAUCCAAGAAAACAAGCCAAAAUUACUGAAGAAACAAAUAAGAUGAUUGACUUAAUUUCAGUUUUGCAAUUGAAACUAAAUGUUCUAUUCUAAAGUUGUAGAGAAGUAAGUUGGACUCUCCUCUGUUGCAAACAAAGAUAUUAAUAUUCCCAUCGUAGGGUUGUUGUGAGGAUUGAGUUGGUACCUGUUUAGAACAGUGUCUGCCAAUAGAAAGGGCUCUGUAAAUGUUAGAUAUUUUUUAUUAAUUUUUAUGUCAUGGUUUAUUAUAGAUACACACAUAGAUUAAAUAUAUACCAUAUAUAUGGAUACACAUAUGAUACAUGUAUAUCUCUACAUGUGUAAGGUAUAUACAUAUAUAUUUUUAUAUAUAUAUAUCUGGUAUAUACAUAUAGAGAUAUACACACCAUACCUAUGGAAAUAUAUAUAUGGGGGGUGUGUGUGUGUGCACGCAUAUAGUAAACAUAUAUAUAUAUACACACACACACCAUAUGUAUGGAUGUAUGGAUAUAUAUGAUAUACAUAUGUGUAUCUAUAAUCUCCAUAUAUGUAUGUGUUUAUCUUCAAUACAUACAUAUAGUCCGGGCAUGGCAUGGCGGCUCAUACCUGUAAUCCCAGCACUCUGGGAGGCUAAGGCGGGUGGAUCACUUGAGGCCAAGAGUUCAAGACCAGCCUGGCCAACACGGUGAAACCCCGUCUCUACUAAAAAUACAAAAAUUAGCUGAACAUGGUGGCACAUGACUGUAAUCACAGCUAUUUGAGAGGCUGAAGCAUGAGAAUCGCUUGAACCCAGGAAGCAAAGGUUGCAUUGAGCCGAGAUUGUGCCACUGCACUCGGCUGGGACAACAGAAUGACACUCUGUCUCAAAAAGAAAAAAAAUGUAUAGAUAUAUAUCUAUGUAUACACUUCCAUAUACAUACAUGUAUGUGUGUAUACAUACAUUCAUAUAUAUAUGUGUGUAUAUACAAUUAUUGAUCCUCUAUUUAGUUUCACUGACUUCUGCUAC
rnacentral:lncRNA from 1 species